GUUAUAAGUUACACCUGUGCUUUUCCUGCUGGGGUCAGUCAUCUAUCACUGGAUAAUGCAAGUGGCAGUGUAACUCAAAACCGUAUACAGUAUGCUGAGUGUCAGGGUUUGGAGUGAAUCAUCCACCAGAGACAGGAGGAUCAUUUUGGUAUCUAUGUUCUCGUCACAACAGGAUGGUGUGUGUGUGUGCACACGGCGAGGAAGUUAUACAACUGAGGCCUUGACUGGGCGUACAGGAACGUAAGGAGAUGUAAACAGAGCAAGUGAAUGUAUCAUCCUCAAGUCACUGAGCUCGCCAAAUGUCUCAUGCACACACCAACACACACACAAACAUGCACUUCCUAACCACUGCCGACACACACUCUCUAUCUUUCCUUCCUCUUGCCUUCACUACCCUCCAUUACACACUCCCUCAUUCCAUUCACUCUCUUUAAUUAACCCUCCCUCCUCCCCACUUCUCCCCUCAGGCUUGCACAAAUGCAUGCCAAAGCACCGAAACACACACAUUUUCCUUACUAAAUAGCACUUGCGCUCACACACACAAGUACGCACCUGCACACACUACAUCGCAAAAAUCUCUGGUCACAUCUUAUAAAAUACAUUUGUCGAUUUUUCAUUCCUGAAAGUUUUAAGUGAAUAUUUCUGCCAGUGCAGUGAGAUACUUAAACCUGUUUUAAAUACAAAUCAACCAGUUUCAAGAAGAAAUGAUCAUCACACUGCAAGAGGAAAGACAUAAGAAAGUCACGAUAUUUCUUUUAGGAAGUUUGAAAUCUUAUUUUCUCUCAUCCGAGAUAAUCUUGUCAAGCACCACUUACAUUAGAUCAUUCAAUUUAUAUUAAGAGGGCGGUGCUUGUGUGUGUAAUGAAUGUUUUCAGAGAUGCACCACUACUGUAGAGACAUUUCCUGUGUCCGAUAUCACUCACUCAUUCAGUUUUCCCUAUAUAACAGACUCUCAGUGCUUUACUACUACAGUAUGUUUAGCGGUAAAGUAACAUUUUGUACACUUAUGAAUCAUAAUCCAUUACUGCACAUCUAUCGAAUACUAUACAUUGCGUUACGGGAUUGUUACUAGAAAGUAGUACUUGUUGCUUGAGCGCUACGUUUUUCAUUCCAUUGUGGGAAUUUUCAAGGGCUCCAUAUAGUGCUUAUAUCACGUUACACGUCUGCUAUUUUGGGCACUCAAAAUAGCAGACAAUAAAUAUAAUGCACUCUAUAGUAGGAAAUAAGAAAUAAGGAGUGUGGCCGUGACUACAUUGCUGACUCCCAUCUGCUUCUUUGUAUAGCCUUUUGCUAUCAGGUGUAAAAAAAAGCCCGAGAUUUUAUGUCUUAAGUCCUAAAUGGAGCCAAAUUCAAAGACAAAUCGUCGCUUCAAGCACCUUCAUCUUGACUUUCUGAAGUUUUAAGGUCAGAGGCUUAAGUCAUUUUUAUGUUUUUCAGAUUCUUUUAGUACACAACAUUUGCUUGUUUGAAGAAAUUAAUUUUUUUGCAGUGUGGUAAGACUGAUAAGACAUUCUUCAAACAAGUUGUGUCAAAAUUAAGAAUUACUAAUUACUUACUGAGCUCAUUUUAAGAAAACAGAGCCUUUCUUUUUUUCGUCGUUGUUGUUGCAAAGAGCAAAUGAGAUAGUGUACGACAAGCACCCAGCUUGAAUCAAACAAGGGACACUGCAACCACAUGACAUGCAUCUUAUAUCAUUAGGGAGCUGGGAUGCAGCCCAGUGUCUGUAGAAGGUGCACUACAGUUCAAAACACGUUGUACAUCCACCAUGGAGAGACAAGAAACACUGAGGGUAUGCAGACUCACAUGCCUACAAAUUCUCUCUCUCUCUCUCUCUCUCACUCACACACACUCUCUCACACACACACACAAUUCAUAUCUAUCACCCUCUUCCCAGAUUGGCUGCGUUUUUCCAAACAUCAUUUACUAAUGCUAUUGCUUUGAGCCAGAAUGCUUUCUGACGUAAUGUUUGCUCUCCCUCUCUCUCUCUCUUUCUCUUUCUCCUCUCCGACUCUCCAAUCUCCCUUUUUCUUGUUGUCUCCCUCUAAUUCCAUUUCCACAUCCCUCUGUCCCUGUUUUUUUUUUUCAGUCUGUGAGGAUUCUUAAGAGUGAGAAAACAGAUGUGGCAGGGGGAUUAAGAUGAUGAAAACUGUUCAUUUCGGGAAAUGAAAAGAGCUAGCCCUCAACAGAUGAGGAAAAAUGCACUGUAGCUUUGGUGGAACUAUAACACACACACACGCACAAAAAAAAAAAAAGGUUAAUACAUCCUGAGCCAGUGAGAGAGAUGGUGAUUGAGAAGGGAAAUCAGAGUGAUGGUGAGCGUGUGCACGUGACUAAAUAUACAUUCGCACCUUUUUGCAGAGAGAAGGAACGAGCCCAAGAGCCAGAAAGAAAGAGACUCGAGUAAUGAACUACAGUAAGUGCAGCAUAUAAUGAGCCGAGCAGCAGGGGGAGAAGAACCAGAUAUAGGAAGUGGAGGGCAGAGAGGAAAAGGAGAGAAAAGAGAU